rnacentral:rRNA from 1 species
UACAGAGGUCUCAAGCGUUGUUCGGAUUCAUUGGGCGUAAAGGGUGCGUAGGUGGCGCCGUAAGUCAGGUGUGAAAUUUCGGAGCUUAACUCCGAAACUGCAUUUGAUACUGCGGUGCUUGAGGACUGGAGAGGAGACUGGAAUUCAUGGUGUAGCAGUGAAAUGCGUAGAGAUCAUGAGGAAGACCAGUGGCGAAGGCGGGUCUCUGGACAGUUCCUGACACUGAGACACGAAGGCCAGGGGAGCAAACGGG